UACGUAGGGGCCGAGCGUUGUCCGGAGUUACUGGGCGUAAAGCGCGCGCAGGCGGCUCGUCAAGCCUGACGUGAAAGCCCCCGGCUCAACCGGGGAGGGUCGUCGGGGACUGGCGGGCUUGAGGUCGGCAGGGGCUGGUGGAAUUCCCGGUGUAGUGGUGAAAUGCGUAGAGGUCGGGAGGAACACCCGUGGCGAAGGCGGCCAGCUGGGCCGGACCUGACGCUGAGGCGCGAAGGCGUGGGGAGCGAACGGG
rnacentral:rRNA from 1 species